CACGUAGGGCGCAAGCGUUGUCCGGAAUUAUUGGGCGUAAAGAGCUCGUAGGCGGUCUGUUGCGUCCGCUGUGAAAACCAGGGCUUAACCCCUGGCUGCAGUGGAUACGGGCAGACUAGAGGUAGGUAGGGGAGAAUGGAAUUCCCGGUGUAGCGGUGAAAUGCGCAGAUAUCGGAGGACGAACCGUGCCGGAGGCGGUAGCGGGGUCCUUAC
rnacentral:rRNA from 1 species